UGUUGUUGGGGACUGUGCCCUUUAACCUGUGGAGUCUGAUACUAAUCCUGGGUGGUCUGUGUCAGAAUUGAAUUGCAGUGUUUCUGUUUAAAGAUACCCUAGUUAACAUAUAGUGCUGCUUCAUUAACAGCACUACCACUAAUACCCGUACAGAUCUCGUUUAACAGGUAUUUUUUGUGUCAUGUCUCUGUGCCUUCUUCACUCAGCUACUUUCAACAACGAUUCAGUAUUGCACUUGGGGGGCCAUUUUAAACAGCAGCAUCACCAAAAAAGAAACCACAAAAAUGUGAAAAAUGUAGCACUAAAUAAACUGCAAAAGAUGUUUAUAUUAUGAGAGCUAACACAAGAAGGCAGAGCGUUGCCAUGGUCAGCCUCAGCUGGAACGCAUGUAUUGGUAAUAAGAACCUCAGUUUUCACCUGGUAAAUGGGAGCCUUGCAACAAAGUAUACAUUUCCCAGACACUUGGAACACUAUGAGAUGUGGUCAUGUGACCAACUUCUGGUCCACGGAAUGUGAGCUGUGGUUAGGAUCCAGCACAAGUUACAGAACCUCUCUCCACUGAACCUACUGCAAACAGAGAUGCAGGAAAUUUUUGGAAGAGCUCAGGCUGCAGACUGUGGGUAGAACCGGAGGUGUUUACUUCAGGGAGAGAUUUUAGGGCUGAGCAAGUCAAGAGGCAUCACAUGCCAGGCACACACGUCUGCAGAGUUCCUACUGCUACCUCCAAGAUGUGUGAUCUCACCAAGAUAUUUUUGUAAUUGGAAACUGCUGUCAUUCAGACUUUGCAAUGACCUCACAGUAUUCUGAAACCUGGGUAAGUUUCCUUUCUGAAGCCAGCAUAAAAUCAACCUUUCUUUCCUCCUUCCAGUUUCUCCCUCUCUCUCCUUCUCUCUCCCUUCUACUAAUAUUAUCACUUUUUAUGUUGGAAGCAUGAUAGACAAAUUAUCUUCUCCAUAAAGAGUUGCAGUACCUGGACUACCCAUUUUCAAUGAACAU